CGUAGGUGAACCUGCGGAAGGAUCAUUAUUGUAUAACCGAGGUGCGAGGGCUGUCCCUCACCCGACAGGACGUGUACGCCCGAGUGCACGCACACACCUCCUUCUCACCCCAGUGUGCACCGCCGCGUGGGUCCCCCCUUGGCUUGUUCGGAGGGGGGCUUACGUUUGCACUCAAACUUUGUAUGCAGUGUAGAAUGUAUUUUUUGUUUUUGAGACCACGCAAUUAUUACAACUUUCAACAACGGAUCUCUUGGCUCUG
rnacentral:misc_RNA from 1 species